rnacentral:rRNA from 1 species
CAGCAGUCGCCACGGUAAUACGAAGGGGGCUAGCGUUGUUCGGAAUCACUGGGCGUAAAGCGCACGUAGGCGGACUUUUAAGUCAGGGGUGAAAUCCCAAGGCUCAACCUUGGAACUGCCUUUGAUACUGGAAGUCUUGAGUUCGGGAGAGGUGAGUGGAACUGCGAGUGUAGAGGUGAAAUUCGUAGAUAUUCGCAAGAACACCAGUGGCGAAGGCGGCUCACUGGCCCGAUACUGACGCUGAGGUGCGAAAGCGUGGGGAGCAAACAGGAUUAGAUACCCCCGUAGUCCCUGUCUCUUAUAC